UACGUAGGGCGCAAGCGUUGUCCGGAAUUAUUGGGCGUAAAGAGCUCGUAGGCGGUUUGUCGCGUCGGCCGUGAAAUCUCCACGCUUAACGUGGAGCGUGCGGUCGAUACGGGCAGACUUGAGUUCGGUAGGGGAGACUGGAAUUCCUGGUGUAGCGGUGAAAUGCGCAGAUAUCAGGAGGAACACCGGUGGCGAAGGCGGCAUCCUGGACCGAGAUCGACGCUGAGGCGCGAAAGCUAGGGGAGCAAACGGG
rnacentral:rRNA from 1 species